GCUCACAGGCAGCACCGGGAAAGGUCCUCCCUCUGUCCCGGCCUGUUGGGGAGAACAGCUAGCCCUGACGCGACCCAGCCCUGCUGGCACAGGGAGGGCAGGAGAGCUGCAGGGAAGCUCCAUGUCCUACCUCUCCUCUCACAGCUGGGCCACGAUGCCACUAGAUAGUCAGUUACAGUCGGCUCUAUCCCCUGCUGCUCUGGGGGCCACGCCGGGGCCAUUCACCGGCUCUCCUGCUUGAGGGGGUUGCUAAGAUUCCUUAUGACAGGUUUCAGAGUAGCAGCCGUGUUAGUCUGUAUUCGCAAAA